rnacentral:rRNA from 1 species
CCUACGGGAGGCAGCAGUAGGGAAUCUUCGGCAAUGGGGGGCAACCCUGACCGAGCAACGCCGCGUGAGUGAAGAAGGUUUUCGGAUCGUAAAGCUCUGUUGUAAGUCAAGAACGGGUGUGAGAGUGGAAAGUUCACACUAUGACGGUAGCUUACCAGAAAGGGACGGCUAACUACGUGCCAGCAGCCGCGGUAAUACGUAGGUCCCGAGCGUUGUCCGGAUUUAUUGGGCGUAAAGCGAGCGCAGGCGGUUUGAUAAGUCUGAAGUUAAAGGCUGUGGCUCAACCAUAGUUCGCUUUGGAAACUGUCAAACUUGAGUGCAGAAGGGGAGAGUGGAAUUCCAUGUGUAGCGGUGAAAUGCGUAGAUAUAUGGAGGAACACCGGUGGCGAAAGCGGCUCUCUGGUCUGUAACUGACGCUGAGGCUCGAAAGCGUGGGGAGCGAACAGGAUUAGAUACCCUGGUAGUCCACGCCGUAAACGAUAGAGUGCUAGGUGUUGGAUCCUUUCCGGGAUUCAGUGCCGCAGCUAACGCAUUAAGCACUCCGCCUGGGGAUCGACCGCAAGGUUGAACUCAAAUGAAUUGACGGNNGAGAGNGACGAGACGACGACGAGGGAGGAGG